rnacentral:rRNA from 1 species
CCUACGUGAGACAGCAGUGAGGAAUAUUAGUCAAUGGGCGCGAGCCUGAACCAGCCAAGUAGCGUGAGGGAUGACUGCCCUACGGGUUGUAAACUUCUUUUAUAAAGGAAUAAAGUGAGGCACGUGUGCCUUUUUGUAUGUACUUUAUGAAUAAGGAUCGGCUAACUCCGUGCCAGCAGCCGCGGUCAUACGGAGGAUCCGAACGUUAUCCAGAUUUAUUGGGUUUAAAGGGAGCGUAGAUGGGUUGUUAAGUCAGUUGUGAAAGUUUGCGGCUCAACCGUAAAAUUGCAAUUGAUACUGGCAGUCUUGAGUACAGUUGAGGUAGGCGGAAUUCGUGGUGUAGCGGUGAAAUGCUUAGAUAUCACGAAGAACUCCGAUUGCGAAGGCAGCUUACUAAACUGCCACUGACAUUGAUGCUCGAAAGUGUGGGUAUCAAACAGGAUUAGAUACCCGAGUAGUC